rnacentral:tRNA from 1 species
GCACGAUUAGCUCAGCUGGAUAGAGCGCAGCCCUCCGAAGGCUGAGGCCGCAGGUUCGACUCCUGCAUCGUGCGCCA